rnacentral:rRNA from 1 species
GACGGAGGGUGCUAGCGUUGCUCGGAAUCACUGGGCGUAAAGGGCGCGUAGGCGGCCUUGCAAGUCGGUUGUGAAAUCUCCGGGCUUAACCCGGAAAGGUCAGCCGAUACUGCAGGGCUAGAGUGCAGAAGGGGCAACUGGAAUUCUCGGUGUAGCGGUGAAAUGCGUAGAUAUCGAGAGGAACACCUGCGGCGAAGGCGGGUUGCUGGGCUGACACUGACGCUGACAGCGCGAAAGCUAGGGGAGCGAACGGG